UACGUAGGGGGCUAGCGUUGUCCGGAAUCAUUGGGCGUAAAGAGCGUGUAGGCGGUCCGGUAAGUCCGCUGUGAAAGUCGGGGGGCUCAACCCUCGAAUGCCGGUGGAUACUGUCGGGCUAGAGUGCGGAAGAGGCGAGUGGAAUUCCUGGUGUAGCGGUGAAAUGCGCAGAUAUCAGGAGGAACACCUGAGGUGAAGACGGGUUGCUGGGCCGACACUGACGCUGGAGCGCGAAAGCCAGGGGAGCGAACGGG
rnacentral:rRNA from 1 species